UGGGGAAUCUUGCGCAAUGGGCGAAAGCCUGACGCAGCGACGCCGCGUGAGUGAUGAGGGCCUUCGGGUUGUAAAGCUCUGUGGGGAGAGAAGAAUAAGUGCGGGCUAAUACCCCGCAUGAUGACGGUAUCUCCUUAGCAAGCACCGGCUAACUCUGUGCCAGCAGCCGCGGUAAGACAGAGGGUGCAAACGUUGUUCGGAAUUACUGGGCGUAAAGCGAGUGUAGGCGGUUUGGUAAGUCGGAUGUGAAAGCCCCGGGCUCAACCCGGGAAGUGCAUUCGAUACUGCCAAGCUAGAGUAUCGGAGAGGUUGGUGGAAUUCUCGGUGUAGAGGUGAAAUUCGUAGAUAUCGAGAGGAACACCGGUGGCGAAGGCGGCCAACUGGACGAAUACUGACGCUGAGACUCGAAAGCGUGGGGAGCAAACAGGAUUAGAUACCCAGGUAGUCCCUGAGCGGGCUGGCAAGGCGCAU
rnacentral:rRNA from 1 species